AUAGCCCGAUGAAAGUUGGAUUAAUACCGCAUAUAGCUAUAUAGUUGCAUGAUUAUGUAGUGAAAGAUUUAUUGGUAUAGGAGGAGUCUGCGGCACAUUAGCUAGUAGGUGAGGUAAAGGCUUACCUAGGCGACGAUGUGUAGCCGGUCUGAGAGGAUGAACGGCCACAAUGGAACUGAGACACGGUCCAUACUCCUACGGGAGGCAGCAGUGGGGAAUAUUGCACAAUGGGGGAAACCCUGAUGCAGCAACGCCGCGUGAGUGAAGAAGGUUUUCGGAUUGUAAAGCUCUGUUAGCAGGGAAGAGGAAGGACGGUACCUGCAGAGGAAGCCACGGCUAACUACGUGCCAGCAGCCGCGGUAAUACGUAGGUGGCAAGCGUUGUUCGGAAUAACUGGGCGUAAAGGAUGCGUAGGCGGUUAAACAAGUUAUAUGUUAAAUAUAUAGGCUUAACCUGUAGAAAGCAUAUAAAACUGUUUAACUAGAGUGCAGGAGAGGUAAGUGGAAUUCCUAGUGUAGCGGUGAAAUGCGUAGAGAUUAGGAAGAACACCAGUGGCGAAGGCGACUUACUGGACUGUAACUGACGCUGAGGCAUGAGAGCAUGGGGAGCAAACAGGAUUAGAUACCCUGGUAGUCCAUGCUGUAAACGAUGGGUACUAGGUGUGGGUUGUGAAUAACAAUUCGUG
rnacentral:rRNA from 1 species